AUCAAAACAUCCAUUACAAUGCAUAUGCUUUGCUUUUCAAGUGAUUAAAAUUGGAAGAAAAUAAGACAAUCGAAUUGAGUAAAGAAUAAAAGUAAAGCAUAUACCACUAAACAUAUAAAGAACAACAUGGCCACUUGACAAGCAAUAAAGGCAUACCAGUAAGCGUCCAAACACUUUAAAAUAAACAAAUAUGACCAAGAAGAAAAUAGAAAUAUAUAGUAUAUAAAGAAAAUAAAUAUGAUUUACCUGCAAUUGUCCUUUAUUAUUAUUAUUAUUAUUUAAAAUUUAUAUAACAAAAAAAAAUUUAUUUACAUUAUAUGCAUCUUUUUCUUAAAGAGCUAAGAAUUUAAAAAUUUAUAAAGUAUUGAAGCUUGAAUAUUCAGAUUCAAAAUGAUUUUAAAGAUUCUUUGUUACUGAAAAAAUAAUUUACAGAGUGUGCUUGAUUAAAUGCUGACAAUAAGACAUCUUAUUAUUAGGAAAAAUUAUAAAAUCUACCAUAUAUUUUCAAUUUCUUAUGCAAUCUACCAUAAUUCUUCCUCCCUUACACAUCAUACCACAUUUCCACUUAAAAUAUCUAUAUUGCCCUCACUAUUUCUUCUCUAUUUCAUCUCUCCUUCCUCGAGAUCCGUGCGCUUUAACCACACAUCAUUAUCUUUCCGAAUACAAAAUGAAACGUUUUUGUCUCUCUCUCACUUCUCCCGACAACGUGCACAAAUUCUUUACAUAUAACUUUUAAUUGAUUUUGUCCCCUAAUUUUUAAUCAUCAUAAAUUCUCUUUAAUGUUUCCCUCUGCUCAGCUUGGCCCAAGUUUAACUCUCAUUCCUAUGAAACUUUAGCAAGCAAACGCAAGCAGCUGAAAACCUUCACCAUUGUUCGAACCUAUCUCAAAGCACUACCUCAUGUAGUUACUCUCGUGCCGGCGAGUUUCUCACCUUUGACCCUUUCAUCAACGCCCAUUCGUCUAUUGACAUUGGCAACUCUUUCAUCCAUUGACUCGCUCUUGGAGGAAUCAUCGACAAACUUUGAUCUCACAAGUUCCAUAAAGCAUGUUUGCUUUUGGCUCAAAGCUCUCAAGGACUUCUUGUUGAUUAACUUUAUGUAUAUUUCUAUCUUUCUUAUUGUAGCUUUGGGGUUUGUCCCUUUUUGUUGUGCUUUAAACUAUGGGAUCUUAACAUCCUAUUAUCUUUGUAUUUGGGUUCUAACCUAAUGUAAUGAAAACAACUCUUUGCCCAAAAAAAAAUUCUCUUUUAUGUCUAGAUCUUGUCCCCGAUUUCACCAUCUUUUAAAAUUAUCAUGAAUCCCACAUUUUAUCUACCAAUUGUUCUCAUUUAAGGGUUCGAAUUUGAUUUAGAUUUUUCACCAUCUAUUUUGGUCCACAGAUUAGCUGAGCAUUAUUGUUUUCACCGACACGAUUUUUUUUUUCUU
rnacentral:sRNA from 1 species